rnacentral:rRNA from 1 species
AAUGAACGUUGGCGGCAUGGAUUAGGCAUGCAAGUCGAGCGAGAAGUGUAGCAAUACACGGAAAGCGGCGGAAGGGAGAGUAAUACGUGGGAAUCUGCCCUUAGACCUGGGAUAGCAGCGGGAAACUGCUGGUAAUACCAGAUAAUGUCUAUGGACCAAAGGUGUGAUUCCGUCUAGGGAUGAGCCCACGUCCUAUUAGCUAGUUGGUAGGGUAAUGGCCUAACAAGGCGAUGAUGGGUAGCGGGUGUGAGAGCAUGACCCGCCUCACUGGGACUGGGACACUGCCCAGACACCUACGGGUGGCUGCAGUCGAGAAUCUUCGGCAAUGGGCGCAAGCCUGACCGAGCGAUGCCGCGUGCGGGAUGAAGGCCUUCGGGUUGUAAACCGCUGUCGAGGGGGAGCAACUUCCAUAGAGUUAUCUUUAUGGAUUGAGUGAUCCCUGGAGGAAGGACGGGCUAAGUUCGUGCCAGCCGCCGCCGUAAGAC